GACGAACGCUGGCGGCGUGCUUAACACAUGCAAGUCGAACGGCAAGGCCCUGCUUUUGUGCUGUGCUCGAGUGGCGAACGGGUGAGUAACACGUGAGUAACCUGCCCUUGACUUUGGGAUAACUUCACGAAACUGGGGCUAAUACCGGAUAGGAGCUCCUGCUGCAUGGUGGGCGUUGGAUCGUUUCGGCGGUUGGGGAUGGACUCGCGGCUUAUCAGCUUGUUGGUGGGGUAGUGGCUUACCAAGGCUUUGACGGGUAGCCGGCCUGAGAGCGUGACCGGCCACAUUGGGACUGAGAUACGGCGCAGACGGCUACGGGAGGCAGCGGUGGGGAAUAUUGCACAGUGGGCGGGAGUCUGAUGCAGCAGCGCCGGGUGCGUGAUGACGGUCUUCGGGUUGUAAACCGCUGUCGCCUGUGACGAAGCGGGAGUGACGGUAAUGGGUAAAUAAGCACCGGCUAACUACGUG
rnacentral:rRNA from 1 species